GGGUGUGGCCCUAAAAAGCAAAAAAUUAAAAGCAAAAAAAAUAAAAUGAUUUCACUCCUGUCUCCCCCAUGCCACCAGCCCACAUUCAUCCCUGAGAAUAAACCCCCACCCCUCUGCUGAGCAGGGCCGUAACCCCCUUUUCACCAACAGGCCACACGCAUUUGCAACCACACAAAGUGUAUCUGCAGGAUAGGUUCAGCUUCUGUGAGCCUCCUCUGGGCAGUGUGGUCACGCCUUGGUCCCCAGCACCAUUGCCCGGCUCUCUGCUGGCCAGUACCUUCCUACUCAGUGUACCCCACUUCUGAUCGGCCCUGAUUAUUCCUGAUCUCUGGCUCCCGAGGUAGGAGGACUGCUCUGCCAGGCCCAGGUGCUUGCUUUUCUGCAUUCAGGCCACUCUUGGUGCCCAGCCUGAGGGUUCCCAAGGCAGUGAGUGGUCAGUCAACCUCCCCCAGCUUAAUGCUCUCCUUCCAGGGCCAGCAAACUCCUGGGAGAGCUGCAGAGCCUGGGUAGCAACCUCGGUGCACUUGCCCUGCCCAGUGGGUGAGAGGAGGCCACAGAGGAAUCUCCCUCCUGCCCCAUAUCUGCUUCCACAUGCUUCUCUCUCCUUCCAUCCUGUGGGCCAGCGACUGCCUCCUCCAGCCAUCUAGGCCUCCCAACACCUGCUCCACCUCUUUCUUGGGGACCUGGGGCCCUGUGUUUGUUGGGAGCCAUUCCCUACCACCACCCUCCAGGUUACAUGAGGGAGAAGGGCCACCUCACCCAGGCCAGGCCAAGCCAAGCACAGCUAACACAGCUCAGAGAUAAGGGCUUGCCACAAAUUGGUCCAUCCGAUUAAAUCCAGAAAAUAAUGCUGGAACUAUUAGAAAAGAAAAGUUGUUUCCCCUGGGAUUAUUAAGCUGUGCGAACAUGUGGCAGCUGCCUGCCUUUUUUUUUUUUUUUUUUUUUUUUUUAAUUUCCCCCCUACAUGAAUUAAAUCAACACGGAGUAGAGCCAAGAGCUAGAGAAAGUAAGGGACAAAACAUUUAUCUGGGUACCUGGAUCCAGCCAUAUCUGAAGCUAGGACACCCUGGAUUUUUUUUUUUUUCAGCUUUAUUAACCAAUAAAGUCUUCUUUCCUUAAGCCAAUUUCCUUUUAAUUUCUGACAAUUGCAGAAUAACUCCUGACGGAUACACCCAUUCUCUUCCUUAUCUUCAAACUUUCCGUCUCUCCUAGAGCCUUGCCCUUCAUCUGUGGCCAAACACAAGCCAACUAAAAUCCUCUGAGCAUGUAACCAGGUAUGGUGACAGAUGUUAACUAGCCUAUUUUUAUAAUCAUUUUGCAAUACAUACAAAAAUCGAGACAUUAUACUGUACUCCCUGAAACUCAUGUUGUAUGUUAAUUAUACCACAAUAAAAAAUAAAAUAAAAAAAAUUUUAAGUGUCCAAAAACGUCCUCUGUACAAAGAGGCAGAAUUCAAACACACAUAUACAGAUGUGCAUAGGCGACUACUACGUGCAGACACGUAUAUUGAAAUCUUUCUAAAAGGAAAAGUCCCCUUCGACUGGCCAUCUCCCCCUGCUACAGCAUCUAUCCCCACGAUGCAUCCCUUUUCCUCCACUUCCUUGCCUCUUGCCAGCCCCUCACUUCCACCUACCGUCUGCACCCUGGCUCUGACAGAGCGCCCCCUCUGACACUGGACCUCAGCACACACUGCAUCUGGGAGCCUCCUGCCUCGCUGAGCCCCAGCCUCUUGAAUCUCUCUCACCCAUAAGCAGAGGAGCUGCCCCCGUCUCAGGUGUCCACUGCCUCCUCCACCUGUCUCCUGGGUGGCAGAGGGCCAAAGAGUGCCACCCUCCUCCUCCUCCCGCCUUUCUCUCCUUUGGUACUCUUCCUCCCUAGGCAGUGGCACCCACAGCCCUCUGCACAGAGAGCUCCCGCUCGAGCUCUGCCCAGACCCUGCUCCUGCACACAGAACCUGCCCUUCCAACUGCCCUCGAGACCCCUCCCGGGAAAUGGCCCCCGUGACCCACCCUCCUCCAAGCUGCUCCUCCUUCCUGGCCAGCAUGCCUCUCGCCCUCCCACUCAAGUCAGAGGCCUUGGGGGAUCCCUCCUCAUCCUCUCCCUCCCCCCUGGGUCCACGUCUCCCGGAACUUGGAGAGCUGGCCUCUCUGCAUUUCCCAAAUAGAUUCUGCUGCCUCUGGCCACAGACAUUACGGUAGAACAUUAAACGAUCCAGAAAUAUGUCCAUUUUAUACAGAGAGUGAACAAAGGAUGGUCACAGAUGUACAACAGGGUCUUUUUUUGUCUGUUUGUGCACAUGUGCAUAUAUGUGAAAAACACACAGUAAAAUGUUGAUGGGAUUACAAGGUACUUCCAUUCCCUUCCUUUGGUUUAUUUAUGCAUUCCGUUCUCGUCAAUGCAAGGCAUUCUUGGACUUCAGAUAGACAGGAAAAUAAAAAAGAAGCCAUUGUGAACCUCCAGCCCUGGACUGGUGAUGCUGGGCAUCCCAGGAUCCGAUGGGAGGGGACCUGAGGCUGUACCCCCAACCCAUCUCUUCCUUGGAUUGGCCCUCACUCCCAACCUCAUGUUUGGGGCCCUGGAGGCUCCCAGAAGUGAAGCCACCGGCCUGCGGUCACAAAGGAGUGAGCGCGGAGCCUGGUUCUCCCUCCACGGCCACGUCCCCACUAUGGGCUGUGAUCCACCCCCUCAAUUCAGGGCAACCCCUGAAGCCAUCCUAAGGCUCCCGCAGGCCCUGAAAUAGAGCUGCAUUGCCACAUAAGACACCCAGGAGACACGGGGAGGCCAGGAGCCAAUUCUAGAUGGCUCAGCAAGGCCGCCGCCAACCACGGAAUCAGGGAAGCCUCUGGCUGCCUCUGAAAUACAAGAAGCAGGACAGGAGGCCCCUCUGGGAGGGCCCCAGAGGAGGACCUUGGCAGCUCCAUGGGCAGGUGGGGCCCAGGCCAGGCAGGGCAGUAACCCAAGUGUGGCAUUUGAGGAGCUAGAGCGGCUGGAGCUCCUUCCAGCAGGGAUGUAAGAAGGAGCACCAGGGGGAGGGCUGGCCUCUCAUACAGAAGCUGGAGCCUGAUCCUCAACCGCUAGUGGCCCCAGGAAACGGCGCCUGGCAAGGCUUCUUACUCCCAGUCCUGGGCGCUCUUCCUCCUCAGGACCCGCGGGGCUGGGAGAACUGGGUCCUGCCCGCAGACAGGGACGGACAGGAGGUGGAACCUGAGCCCACCCUAGAGCCAGGAUCCAUGACCCCCAGGCAGCCAAGGAACCCUCACCAGCCCCAUGGCUGGCAGGGACUGCACAGGAAGUGACCAAGGCCCUCCAGAGGCAAGUCCCAACCCCGCUAGUGACAGGGUCUAUGUGUCAGAUGUAAAACCCAUCGGAGGUCUCCUGCUGACAAGCCUUUGGCCGUGUUCCCUCCCAGCUGGGAAGGGAAAUGACCUGGCAGGAGGGAAGACAGCUGGCGGGGAGGGGUUCCCAACAGUCUAGGGGGCCCUGGGCCCCCCACUAUCCACCUGUAGGACUCCCAAGCUAAAGACACAGAGAACAUUUACAGGAGGAAAGGGGAGUGGGAACAUUGCCCCUCACAGCAGGUGGUAAACAGAGCAGGACAGCAGCCACCUUGAUCUAGACACCUCGUCCCGCCACAGGCCACAGCAGGUGCCAGGGUCUCUCAGGGACACUGCACCUCAUGUCAGACUCUGACCACCCAAGGCAAGAAGUUUACUGCUGGCUUUGAGGAGCUUCCUGGAGGGCUCUUAACCCAGGCUCCGAAAAGCAGCUGGCAUCUCCUUCCACUCUAGGUAGAGGCAGCAAGGCCAACAAAAGUGGCAGCACCUGUACCCAUCAGCCAGCCACGACUGGGCUUUGCAUCUCUCCCACCCGCUGCUGUGGAUGAGACCAAGUGGCAUUUACACACAGCACGAUUCAAAUGACAGAGGUUGUGACACGUGCAGCUGUGUCUUAUUAUUUCCCGCAGUAAUUGAAAAGCCCGUAAAACACUUGUAUGCAAAUGUUCCUGGUGGCACUACUUCUAAGAGCUGAAAGGUGGAAACCACCCAAAUGUCCACGACUGAUGAAUGGAUUUAAAAACUGUCAUCUAUCCGUACAAUGGAAUAUUAUUUGUACAUAAAAAGUAAUGAAGUUCUAAACAAACUUCUAGAGAAAUGCGUGGGGUGGGCGGGAUAAAUUAGGAGGUUGGGGUUAACAUAUAUACACUUCUAUACGUAAAAUAGAUAAGUAACAAGGGCCUACCGUAUAGCCCUGGGAACUGCCCUCAACACUAUAUAAUAACCUAUAUGGGAAAAAAAUCUGAAAAGGAAAGGACACAUGUCUGUGCAUAACUGAUUUACUUUGCUGUACACCUGAAACCAACACCACUCUAUAAGUCAACUAUACGCCAAUAAAAAUUUUUUAAAAAUAUAAAUAAAUAUCAUCCUCAAUAAACAAACAAAAGUAGUGACGUUCCGACACAUGCUACAAUGUGGAGGAACCUCAAAAGCAGUAUGUCAACUGCAGGAAGUCAGACACAAAUCGACAAAUACUGUGUGAUUCUAGUCUACGAAAAAAUUCAGUAUAAGCACAUCUGUAGAGUCAGAAAGGAGAUUAGCGGUUUGUAGGCCCUGGGAGGACAAGGUUAUUGGGGGUGGGUGACAGCCACAGGGUACGGCGUUUCUUUUUGGAGUGAUGAACAUGUUCUAACACUGAUGGGUGAUGGGAGCACAGCUCUGGAAAGAUAUCAAAUCACUGAAUUUUGCUGAAAUGGAGGUAUGAUAACUAUGUCUCUAUGACCGAAAAAAGAAUGCAUGAUGACAAUAAACAUUUAAAAAGCACAUGUACCGCUGGCUGAUUAAUUUUUUUCAGCAUUAACAGCUCCAUUUCAAUAGAAUGUGUAUUCUUUGUGUUUGAAAGUAUGUCUUAAAAACAGUAUUCUGAUAAAAGGUCCAUGGGCCUCAAUGGACUGCCAAGAAAGUUCAUGACACAGAAGGAGUGAGGAGGAGGCAGGCCAGAAAGGGGGCUGUGAUGCAGCUGUGUCACCUGCCUCGACAAAGAGAAUAGGCAGGGCCUCCUGGAAGAGAGAUGGUGAGCGUCAGCCGGGCAUAUGGGAGUCCUGGCACUUAAGACAAAGGCCCAGAGGACCUGGGAGACCCCUGCUCCAUCUGCUCUGCUAAGACAACCCUAGGUGGACCCACGGAGCCCUAGCUUCCUUGCCCAAUCCCAGCCUUGACUUGACUUAGGCCCCAGUUAAAGCUUCUCACCUUCAGAAUGUUUUUAAAUUCGACUGCAGCCUGGACAAUGGGUCCCCUCCUGGUUCUAUGACAAGGGCUAUUUUCAACAGAGGCAGAGUGUACAUUGGAUGAGAACGUAUGAUCUUUGAAAGCUUUUGUCCCAGGCCCAUAGGAUGGAAGAGAGGGAGGAUAAGGUGGGGAAAAUAAGUCGCAAAUGCUGACUGGUCGCAAGGGGUCUUGAAUGUUAGUUGGGGCCUGUACAUUAAGCAGUGGAUGAAGAGGACCCACUGGAAGUGCUCAGGGGGAGGGCAUGGUAGGGUGGACUGGAGCAGGCGAAAUGGGAGGCAGGGGCAGAGACAAGAUGGACAGAGGUCUGAGACACAAAGAGGGCAGUGGGCCCCUGCUACCUUCCCCUGAAAAAAACAGCAACCUGGCUUUCUUCUGGGUACCCAGCCCUCCCUAUGAUGUCCCAGGCUUCAGACCAGAGAGUCUAUCCCUUGGAGCCAGUGGUCACAUGACUAGACCUGGCCAAUGGAAGCCGUGUUCCCUGCACCUCCCACAGUGAUUUGGUCAAAGCUUGGCAUGUGACCCCUGAGGGGAUGAUCAUAUGACAAUGCCUGGCCAAUGGAAGCCCUGUUCCCUGCCCCUCCCACAGUGAUUUGGUCAAAGCUUGGCAUGUGACCCCUGAGGGGAUGAUCAUAUGACCAUGCCUGGCCAGUGGAAGCCCUGCUUCCUGCCCUGGGCCACAAUGAUUGCUUAGAGCUUGACAUGUGACCUAGCUUGAGCCAUAAGAACCAGCUCAAAGCUUGCUGAACCCCCAGGGGAAAAGGACUUUCUCCUGGGCUGGCAGUUGAUGCCAGGUGAGUCUGCAGCCCCUUGCUGGGGACAGCCUGCUGAGGCCAAGCCAAGGAGGAGAGUCCACUCGCCAACCAGACCUGCAUUUCCCCUCCCAGCCUGCCUGCCAGCAAGAUGCUCUUCUCUCCUUCCAGGCUGGAAAUCUUUUCCACAUCCCAGCUAAUUGUAUUCAGCACCAUGAGGAAAACACUACCUCUCCAUCACAGGGGCCAUCUGCUACCAAGCACCAGCCAUGGGCCUUGGUUCAUUUAAUCCGCAUGAUAACCCAUCAGCGUAUCGACUGCUAUCAAAUUUACCUUUCACAGAUGACACCCCAGAGGCUCUCUGCGAGUGAGCGAAGGAGCCAGAAUCAAACCCGGGAGGCAGGACCAUAUCUGACUUCAGCGCAGAGCCUCGCACAGAGAUGGGGGCCCAUAAACCCAAAUCAUGAGACGGAGGUGGGAGGAAGAAAUGACCGGCCAUGGGGCCCCUGAGGCAGCCACCUCCAUACAAGGGAAACUUAGGUGCCCACACGGGGACCGCAGAAGAUAUGAGAGUGAGGGAGCCGGAGCCGGGUGAUCACAAGGAGCGGCAGAGACUGUGGUGUCUGAAGCUGUGGGAGCCCUCGGUGCCAGCCCCUGGGAAUACAGGCCGAGCAGCUCUCGCCCAGGCUUUCUCAAGAGAAACUGGAAAUCUGGAACUCUGUGAGAAACUGAUCAAACACUGGGAAGGCCAAACAAAACUCAUCUGUGGGUGGACAUGGCACCCAGCCCGCCAGUUUGCAAACUCCGCCCUGCACGACGAGAACACUGACGUUCAGAAAUUGUUUCAUUGGUAAGGGGCGAGGCGCAGACUCAAAUGGAGUUUCGAAGUCCAGAGUCAUUCAGAAUUUCAGGUUGGAUCUCUGGAUCAAACUGCCCUGAACCACUUCCCCAGCUGAAACUCAGACAGUCUUUCAAAGAUAGUCAUUUUCCUGCCAGCCUUGCACACAAAUCCUGCCCAGGUACACUGCUCCCCAGCCGUAGGGGACACCUACCAGGCCACCCAAGGCUGCAAGAGACUCCCUGAGAGGCCCCCCAGUCACUGCUAUGCACCCCCUCGCCCCCGUAAACCACCCCACAUCCAUGUCCUGCACUCAAGCUCUACUCAAUGCAACAGAUCCGGAAACGAAAGGCUGCUGUGCCAAGGGUAAGUGAAACAGGACAUCACUCCUGCCCAGACGUGACCGCUUUAGAAGUCUGCCACCUACAGCAUUCACAGAAAGAGAAGUAGGACCUGGCUCUGCUCUCCUGUUGGCGGCGGUGGGCCAGGUUCUCUGAAGACAUGGUUGUGGCUCCUACACAAAUGUAGUAAAACCCAAUUUUAGUCCAAAAUUUCUAACCAUGUAACAAGAAUACAUGAUAAGAAUAAAUAUUGCAAAAGAAGAAACAAAAAUAUUUUGAAUUGCAGAAGACAAUUGCAUCCUUAGAAAAUCCUCCUGUUCCCAUAAAAAAAAAAAAAAAAAAAAAAUUCCACCCAAAAAGGACCAAAAGAAUAACAUGGAAGUUUGUGAAAAUGCCUUGACAUGAAAUAUACAAACCUCCAUAUCUAGAGUGUAAACAUGAGAAACAUCCAGUUGAGAGAUUUAAUUUCAAAGGAUUUUUUGUGAUUAUCCAUGUUUUGCAUCUGUGGUACUAGGAUCACAGAAGACUGAUUUUGCUGAAGCGCAAGAAAGGAAGAUGCGAGUCGUCAAGAGCAAAUGGCAGUGAACAGGUGAGGCCCGAGGGGGCUUCCGUCUGCCAGGUCAACGAUGGCUGCUGUGUGUUGAGCUGCAGUUGUACAAAUGCAUAUACAAUUUGUACUAACAUGCUGUUUUCAGUUCCUUUGGCUCCUUGGGAAUAAAGGUGUCUAAAUUCUGAGAAUAUUAUCAAUCUGGAACAGUCCAAGUAUUCUGAGUAAAUGAUCACCUACUGCAGCCUAGAUUUAAAAUAUUCCUGGACAUCUAUAAUAACCUACUAUAAAAUAUAAUGGAAAAGAUCCUAUUCACAAUGGCAAUAAAAUUCUAACUCUUAGUAAGAAA